GGGGAUCCCCAGGGGUCGGCAGGGAAACUGGUGGGGCCUCACCCUGGUUCCCUGGGGGAGUCCCCUGACUUGUUGAACUUCCUAACAAUCCUUCCAUGAUCUCAUUUUGCAGACAGAGAGGGCCACACAGCUCGUUUGCAGCAAGCACUGCAGCAAUGAAUGAGCGUUCCUGUUGCUCCACGUUACCGGCAGCGUUUGGCUGUGUUGGUGUUUUGGAUUUGGCCAUUCUGUUAGUACGUUUAAGGAGGUCAUUCCAUACCUUUAUGUAAUGUUGUAUAUAUGAGGCCGGACAAUUAAGUUCGUGAACUCAUCCUGGAAAAAGUGCUCCACACCUCACUGCUGAAUAUCACUACGUUCACC